rnacentral:rRNA from 1 species
UACGUAGGGUGCAAGCGUUAUCCGGAAUUAUUGGGCGUAAAGAGCUCGUAGGCGGUUUGUCGCGUCUGCUGUGAAAACCGGAGGCUCAACCUCCGGCCUGCAGUGGGUACGGGCAAACUAGAGUGCGGUAGGGGAGAUUGGAAUUCCUGGUGUAGCGGUGGAAUGCGCAGAUAUCAGGAGGAACACCGAUGGCGAAGGCAGCUCACUGGCCGUUAUCUGACGCUGAGGCGCGAAAGCGUGGGUAGCAAACAGG